CAGGGGAAGGAGACGUACAGAAAUUAUCUCUGCUUUGACUUUCAGCUUCAGGAUGGCGAGCUUCAAGGUCUACACAGUGUUUUCCUUGUGUUGCUUUUCCAUAAAUAGUAGGAAAGAAGCAGCCCAUUAGGAGGUGGAAGCUGGUGUGCACUCUGGGAUGCGCCAAGUCGCCAUGGCAGGGGCAGACCAAUGUUCGGCAAGUUCUGUGCUGUCUCAGCAGUGAUUCAGAAGUAGCUUCAGCAGGAUCAGGAGGAAAAGAGGAUGUGAUAUCUCCGUGCACUGAGAAAUGCACAAGCUACUUGUUCUAGGCUCUGGGGACACCACAACAGACCUGUCCCCAGCAGGUUUGCAGAAGAACAAAGAAAUCAGAUCAACUUAUUGUUGAGUGCCUGAAGGACCCAGCUACUAGAAUCGACAGUGUGCACCGGACCUCUUUGACAAUUUGUGGACAAAAAUGAGCUGUGCCAGAAGCUUCGGUAGCAGUAAUCAGAAUUCAACUGGGAAGCAGUGUCCUUGUUUGCUCCCCUUCUCCCUGCUCAAGUUGCAAGGCUGCACCUACUGCAGUGACUGGCGUGGGGCACAGUGCUCCUAUGCAGCGUGUACAGGUGAAACACUCACAUGGGUUUGCACUAUAGCCUCAGCAAAGUUUUUCAGCCCGGCCAAGGGUAGCUUUUGGACAAAAUAAAAACAAAAGGAGCAGCUCAGAUUUGGCACCCCUUAUCUUUUUGUUUGCCCGUUUAUAAUCCUAAUUCCAUCAGAGGUGUUCCAGAAUUUCUUGUGAUUGCCAGGUAACCCUACUGUGUGUGUGUGUGUGUGUGUGUGUGUGUGUG